rnacentral:rRNA from 1 species
CCUACGGGUGGCAGCAGUGAGGAAUAUUGGUCAAUGGCCGGGAGCCUGAACCAGCCAAGUCGCGUGAGGGAAGACGGUCCUAUGGAUUGUAAACCUCUUUAGUCGGGGAGCAAUGCCGGGCACGUGUGCCCCGUUGGAGGGUCCCCGCAAAAUAGGCCUCGGCUACCUCCUUGCCAGCGGCCGCGGUAAUCCGGAGGAUGCGGGCGUUAUCCGGAUUUUUUGGGUUUAAAGGGUGCGUAGGCGGAGUUUUAAGUCAGCGGUAAAAUGUCGGGGCUCAACCCGGGCCGGCCGUUGAAACUGGGGAUCUUGAGUGCGCGAGAGGUAUGCGGAAUGCGCAGUGUAGCGGUGAAAUGCUUAGAUAUCGCGCAGAACUCCGAUUGCGAAGGCAGCAUACCGGCGGGGAUCUGACGCUGAGGCACGAAAGCGUGGGUAUCGAACAGGAUUAGAUACCCUAGUAGUC